rnacentral:rRNA from 1 species
UACGGGGGGGGCAAGCGUUGUUCGGAAUUACUGGGCGUAAAGGGCUCGUAGGCGGCCAACUAAGUCGGACGUGAAAUCCCCAGGCUCAACCUGGGAACUGCGUCCGAUACUGGAUGGCUUGAAUUCGGGAGAGGGAUGCAGAAUUCCAGGUGUAGCGGUGAAAUGCGUAGAUAUCUGGAGGAAUACCGGCGGCGAAGGCGGCAUCCUGGACUGACAUUGACGCUGAGGAGCGAAAGCUAGGGGAGCAAACGGG